rnacentral:rRNA from 1 species
UACAGAGGGUGCAAGCGUUGUUCGGAAUUACUGGGCGUAAAGCGCGUGUAGGUGGCGAUGUAAGUCGGAUGUGAAAUCCCUUGGCUUAACCGAGGAAGUGCAUUCGAUACUGCGUUGCUUGAGUACUGGAGGGGUUGGCGGAAUUCCCGGUGUAGAGGUGAAAUUCGUAGAUAUCGAGAGGAACACCGGUGGCGAAGGCGGGUCUCUGGACAGUUCCUGACGCUGAGGCACGAAGGCCAGGGGAGCAAACGGG